UCUCACUCCCCACUGUGCAGCUUCCCCGCGAGCUCUGUGAACUCUGUCUUCUAUAAAAUAAGGAGAAACGCAUCGAGCUCAGAGGAAGGCUGUGUGUGACCUUCCCAGCACAGAGGCCGUCACGGAAACAGGUGGGGCAAUCAAGGCUCAAAAACAUGAUGAAGAGACAGCUUAUCCAACAAGAAAAUGGGUGAAGUAUGUGAAAAAUACCACAAACAGCCAAUAAAUGCAAGGAAACAAAA